rnacentral:rRNA from 1 species
GAGGUAGCAAUACCAAGUGGCGCACGGGUGAGUAACACGUGGAUAAUGUGCCAUUUAGUGGGGAAUAACUGACCGAAAGGUCAGCUAAUACCGCAUGAGACCACAGUCCCUGAGGGGACAGAGGUUAAAGAUUUAUCGCUAAAUGAUCAGUCUGCGUAAGAUUAGCUAGUUGGUGAGGUAACGGCUCACCAAGGCAACGAUCUUUAAGUGGUCUGAGAGGAUGACCACUCACACUGGAACUGAGACACGGUCCAGACUCCUACGGGAGGCAGCAGUAGGGAAUAUUGCACAAUGGGGGAAACCCUGAUGCAGCGACGCCGCGUGAGUGAUGAAGGCCUUCGGGUCGUAAAGCUCUGUUGAACGGGAAGAAACAAAUGACGGUACCGUUUAAGAAAGGAUCGGCUAACUUCGUGCCAGCAGCCGCGGUAAUACGAGGGAUCCUAGCGUUGUUCGGAAUCAUUGGGCGUAAAGAGUAUGUAGGCGGCCUAGUAAGUCAGUUGUGAAAGCCCCGGGCUCAACCCGGGAAGUGCAAUCGAUACUGCUUGGCUUGAAUGUGGAAGGGGGCAGUAGAAUUCCAGGUGUAGUGGUGAAAUACGUAGAUAUCUGGAGGAAUACCGGUGGCGAAGGCGGCUGCCUGGUCCUACAUUGACGCUGAGAUACGAAAGCGUGGGGAGCAAACAGGAUUAGAUACCCUGGUAGUCCACGCUGUAAACGAUGAACACUUGUUGUUGGAGGUAUUGACCCCUUCAGUGACGAAGCUAACGCGUUAAGUGUUCCGCCUGGGGAGUACGGUCGCAAGAUUAAAACUCAAAGAAAUUGACGGGGGCCCGCACAAGCGGUGGAGCAUGUGGUUUAAUUCGAUGCAACGCGAAAAACCUUACCUAGGCUCGAAAUGUACGGGAAGUUAGCAGAGAUGUUAACGUCUUCGGACCCGUAUAUAGGUGCUGCAUGGCUGUCG